rnacentral:rRNA from 1 species
UGGGGGAUAUUGCACAAUGGGCGAAAGCCUGAUGCAGCGACGCCGCGUGGGGGAUGAAGGCCUUCGGGUUGUAAACUUCUUUUGCUCUGAACAAGGCAUGCUAAUGGGUGUGUUGAGUGUAGGGGUUGAUUAGCGCCGGCUAACUACGUGCCAGCAGCCGCGGUAAUACGUAGGGCGCGAGCGUUGUCCGGAAUUAUUGGGCGUAAAGGGCUUGUAGGUGGCUGGUUGCGUCUGUCGUGAAAGCUCAUGGCUUAACUGUGGGUUUGCGGUUAGUACGGGCUGGCUUGAGUGCAGUAGGGGAGGCUGGAAUUCCUGGUGUAGCGGUGGAAUGCGCAGAUAUCAGGAGGAAUACCGGUGGCGAAGGCGGGUCUCUGGGCUGUUACUGACACUGAGGAGCGAAAGCAUGGGGAGCGAACAGG